UACGGAGGGUGCGAGCGUUGUCCGGAAUCAUUGGGCGUAAAGGGCGCGUAGGUGGCCUGCUAAGCGUGCGGUGAAAGUCGGGGGCUCAACCCCCGAUCGGCCGUGCGAACUGGGAGGCUUGAGCACUGUAGAGGCAGGCGGAAUUCCGGGUGUAGCGGUGGAAUGCGUAGAGAUCCGGAAGAACACCGGUGGCGAAGGCGCCGCUCUGGGCCGUGACUGACGCUGAGGAGCGAAGGCGUGGGUAGCAAACAGG
rnacentral:rRNA from 1 species